AGCGAACGCUGGCGGCAGGCCUAACACAUGCAAGUCGAACGAACUCUUCGGAGUUAGUGGCGGACGGGUGAGUAACACGUGGGAACGUGCCUUUAGGUUCGGAAUAACUCAGGGAAACUUGUGCUAAUACCGAAUGUGCCCCCCGAUUCAUUUUGGGGUGGGAAAGAUUUAUCGCCUUUAGAGCGGCCCGCGUCUGAUUAGCUAGUUGGUGAGGUAAAGGCUCACCAAGGCGACGAUCAGUAGCUGGUCUGAGAGGGUGAUCAGCCACAUUGGGACUGAGACACGGCCCAAACUCCUACGGGAGGCAGCAGUGGGGAAUCUUCCGCAAUGGACGAAAGUCUGACGGAGCAACGCCGCGUGAGCGAAGAAGGCCUUCGGGUCGUAAAGCUCUGUUGUUAGGGAAGAACAAGUAACGCAGUAACUGGCGUUACCGUGACGGUACCUAACGAGAAAGCCACGGCUAACUACGUGCCAGCAGCCGCGGUAAUACGUAGGUGGCAAGCGUUGUCCGGAAUUAUUGGGCGUAAAGCGCGCGCAGGCGGUUCCUUAAGUCUGAUGUGAAAGCCCACGGCUCAACCGUGGGGGGGGUCAUUGGAAACUGGGGGACUUGAGUGCAGAAGAGGAGAGCGGAAUUCCACGUGUAGCGGUGAAAUGCGUAGAGAUGUGGAGGAACACCAGUGGCGAAGCGGCUCUCUGGUCUGUAACUGACGCUGAGGAACGAAAGCGUGGGGUAGCAAAAAGAAUAGAUACCCUGGGUAGUCCAAAGGCGAAAUUCACAUUUGGGCGGUGCACCCGGGGGAGAUACUAUUUUAUAGAGGCGCACACCGGGAGGUCUAUAAUCCUCUAUGGAGCGUCGUAUUCGCCCCCUCGCGCCGUUUCAAAACG
rnacentral:rRNA from 2 species